UUCUUUUAAUAUUUUUUUAAGGCUGGUGAAUAAGCUACAACAGAAGCUGUUUAGGUCAUUGGAUUGUCUUUGAAGUCUGAUGCUAAAAAGACCAUCAUGAAUCUCAGAGGAUAUAGAGAAGGCAGUGAAAUGAGAAUUGCUUGGAAUGAGACAUCAUCUUAAGUCCUUGGAGGGAGGGAAAGAGCAAACCAAUGGAGUUCUUUGUUUAGUCCAUCUGAAUUGCAGUACUUAUGACGUUGUUUAUGACCUUUGUUUUUAUAACAAAUGGUGUUAAAUGCUGAACUAUUUUGUAAAAUUACAAUUAUGUAUUUUUUGAUGAUCUAUGAAAAGAAACGUGCUUUCAACAAA